CGCACACACACACCCUUUUCCAUUUUCCAUUUUCCAUUUUCCAUUUCAGCUGUCCCUAAUGUGAUUAAUCAAAGAAGCUAACUAUUUUUCUUUCCUCCAGGGACGGAGCAGUACCGAGGACAUGGCUGUAGAUGAAGACGUAAGUACCAGUGGGCGGUGCAGUUGCGGAACCGAGAGUAAGUAUGUCACAGUCUUAUCUGCUGUUGUUUACGUGACAAAGCGGCCUAGUUAUUGGCUCUGGAAAUAGUUUGUUAAUACAUAGGAGGGAAAAUCAGCCAACAACCGAAGGACUGAUAGUUUAUUGCAUGUCCCAAACUGCUGGUCCGUUUUGGGGAGAGUUCGUAGUGGUGCUGAAUGAGGUCGUUUUGGCAUUGAAAGAUGUAGUUGUGGCGUUAAGAAGAGUUUGUAGUCACGAUGUUGAAAGAAGUCGUACUUUUGUCGUUGAAGGAGGCCGUAGUUGAAGGUAGGUAAAAAUGCGUUGAAAAAGAAAGAAAAAA